rnacentral:rRNA from 1 species
CGAACGGGUGAGUAACACGUGGGUGAUCUGCCCUGCACUCUGGGAUAAGCCUGGGAAACUGGGUCUAAUACCGGAUAGGACCAUGCUUUAGUGUGUGUGGUGGAAAGUUUUUCGGUGUAGGAUGAGCUCGCGACCUAUCAGCUUGUUGGUGGGGUGAUGGCCUACCAAGGCGACGACGGGUAGCCGGCCUGAGAGGGUGAUCGGCCACAUUGGGACUGAGAUACGGCCCAG